rnacentral:rRNA from 1 species
AGAGCGAACGCUGGCGGCAGGCCUAACACAUGCAAGUCGAGCGCCCGUAGCAAUACGGGAGCGGCAGACGGGAUAGUAACACGUGGGAACGCGCCCUUCGGUUCGGAAUAACUCAGGGAAACUUGAGCUAAUACCGGAUACGCCCUUACGGGGAAAGAUUUAUUGCCGAAGGAACGGCCCGCGUCCGAUUAGCUAGUUGGUGAGGUAAUGGCUCACCAAGGCGACGAUCGGUAGCUGGUCUGAGAGGAUGACCAGCAUCACUGGGACUGAGACACGGCCCAGACUCCUACGGGAGGCAGCAGUGGGGAAUAUUGGACAAUGGGCGCAAGCCUGAUCCAGCCAUGCCGCGUGGAUGAUGAAGGCCCUAGGGUUGUAAAGUCCUUUUAACGGGGAAGAUAAUGACGGUACCCGUAGAAUAAGCCCCGGCUAACUUCGUGCCAGCAGCCGC